GAUGAACGCUGGCGGCGUGCUUAACACAUGCAAGUCGAACGAGAAGUGGAGACGGAAACCUUCGGGCGGAAGACUUUAUUUCGAGUGGCGGCCGGGUGAGUAACGCGUGGGUAACCUGCCUCAUACAGGGGGAUAACAGUUGGAAACGACUGUUAAUACCGCAUAAGACCACAGCACCGCAUGGUGCGGGGGUAAAAACUCCGGUGGUAUGAGAUGGACCCGCGUUCGAUUCGCCAGUUGGCGGGGUAACGGCCCACCAACGCGACGAUCGAUAGCCGAUCUGAGAGGAUGACCGGCCACAUUGGGACUGAGACACGGCCCAAACUCCUACGGGAGGCAGCAGUGGGGAAUAUUGCACAAUGGGGGAAACCCUGAUGCAGCGACGCCGCGUGAGUGAAGAAGUAUUUCGGUAUGUAAAGCUCUAUCAGCAGGGAAGAAAAUGACGGUACCUGAGUAAGAAGCCCCGGCUAACUACGUG
rnacentral:rRNA from 1 species